GCAGAUUGACUUAUAAAAAAGGGGAGAUAUUUGAUGUCAAGCUGAAAAUGGAAGAGUUUGAGCCAUGCAAGGGUUUUGAUAAAUGUGUCCACAUGCAAGUAAUUAAUUACUCCUAUUUUUGAUGCAACAUUGAUAAUUAGUGCAGUUGACUUGAAGGUUGUGGCUUAAAGGUAAUGCAACUCAUCAUCAUUGGUGGUAUGCACUUGCACCAUCACAACAGCCCACUUUCCCUACACCCCCUCCCUGCCUGAGUAAGAUAAAAGCAGCUCCCUCCCCGCCCUUUUUCUCCCUAUCAUCAUAAAAACAUAUAUAGCUUCAACUAUAUAUCGAAAGAAACAAGCCAUGGUUCCUAGAAUCAAAAUCUCUCUUUUAGUUUUCCUUGUACUCUUCAUUUACUUAUCUUCAGGUAAGCAAUCCUGUCCUCAUGCAUUUUCAUGUCUUUUACGAGCUUAAUGUAGAGAGUAUAACUGUUCUACUUUCUUCUCUAGGCACCCGCGAGAGCUCCAUGUACUCACUCCAUGAGGUAACUUGAUGCGUGCAUUAGUGUAUAUUUAAUUUUGAAUAAUGCAAUACAAACUUAUACAAUAUAAAGUUCUAAACAAGAAGAUAGAUAUAAUCAUGAUCAGUAGAUGAAUGCAAUGCAAGCUAUAAAGAAAGGGAGAACAUGUUUUCUUCCAAGUUUGUCAUUACAUGAGUUUAUUAGAUUCAAGUGAAGAAAUUUUGCUAAUUAUUGCUGCAUGUUUUGUGAAGGAUGGAGUCGGAAUAAACUCAAGGAAGCUUUUAAGUCAUGGUGAAGUGUUAGACUAUGAUGAUGCUGGCGCAAAUACUAAACAUGACCCAAGGGGUAAAAGAGGGGGUGGUGGCAAGAAUCCCUGACUCUAUUUGUCCCAACUGAAAGUGCUUUUAUUCCAGAUAAAUUUUGAUUGUGAAUCAGGAGACAUAGUAUUGUACUUUCUAUAGUAUUUCUUAUAAGUUUGUUUAAGAUACUACUCCUACUUAUUUUGUAAAAGCCCUUAUAAGGGCACAAUAAGACCAUAAAGGUGAAUCAGAAUUCAUAUGGUCUUUAUGUACUUCUUCGGCUAUUGCCCAUCUUACAUAGUAUUAAGUUAAGAAUAAAUAAUUAAUGUCUUUGUGCUGCUAAUAAGAAGGUGAUUCCAAACAGGGAAAACAAGAUCUAGCAGUGAAAUUCAAUAUCUAUUCAAGUGUAAAGAACUUGACAAAUCGAAUCGUCAAGGACUAAUCAAUUGGCAAUUUCAUCUAAUAGAGCAGUUGAAGC
rnacentral:lncRNA from 1 species